GGCUCCUCCUCUUCCUGUGUGGAACCUGGGAUUCAAACCGCCAAGCAAAGCGCCCUAGCAGGGACUCUGGCCUAGUGAGAGUCUCUGUUUCCCCCUUUUCUUUCUUUCCACCCAGUAAAACCGGGUUUUACUCAUCAUUCAAAUUGUCUGCGAGCCUGAAUUUUUGUGGCCGUGGGACAGAGAACCCCGUCUUUAACGGAACUAAGGAAAAGCCCUGCAACAAUUUUGGCGCGCAACGUGGGGACUGAGAAGCGGUUGAACUCUUUCGUGUCAACUAAAAGAACAUGAACAUAGCAGGGCUGUCAAGAUAAGGCCACAAGCUUGCCGAGUUGAGGACCUUUGAAAUACAAUAAAAGAGAUUUACAAAGUGAACACAUCCAUGUAAUCACUAUCGAGAUCAAAACACAGAAUACACCAGCACCCAAGAAGCCCACUCUCUCCAGCAUCCAAGUCAUUAGCAGUUCCACCAGAAGUAACCAUUAUCCAUCAUCAUAGAUUGUCACGUGGCAAGUGAUUGAGAUCAUUAGCCAACUAGGAAAGGAGAGUUUGCCCUUCUUGUCUCCUGUCUCCCUGCUGGCAGGCAUGUGUAACUGAUGGCUAUCUAGGAUGGCACACAGGACGACUAUGCCUGUGGGAUGGUUGAGUAACAAGAUAAAAGCUGUGUCCUUGGAUGACCUCGUGCAUCAAAACUGCCCUGCCAGCCCUGGGACAGCCUACCUACAGGCUAUUACACUAAGAGCACCUGGACAUUGUUGGUGCAUAGAAAUGCUACUGAUUUUUGUACAUUGACCCUCAACAACCAAGGCAUCAAAGGAACAUACCUCAGCGUAAUAAGAGCCAUCUAUGACAAACCCACAGCCAACAUUAUACUGAAUGGGCAGAGAAGUUCAAACCAUUCUCCUUGAGAAAUGGAAGAAGACAAGGAUGUCCACCCUCACCACUCCUAUUCAGCAUAGUACUGGAAGUCCUAUCCAGUAGGAUAUCGUGCAAGCAGGCAAGAAAAAUGAAUAAAAGGUGUGCUGCUGUUACUGGAAAGUGGUCCCAACCCAGACCCCAAGAGAGGGUUCCUGGAUCUCACACAAGAAAGAAUUUGGAGCAAGUCCAUAAGGUGAAAGCAGUUUCUUAAGAAAGCGAAAGAAUAAAAGAAUGGCUACUCCAUACACAGAGCAGCCCUGAGGGCUGCUGGCUGACCAUUUUUAUGGUUAUUUCUUGAUUAUAUGCUAAUCAAGGGGUAAAUUAUUCAUGAGUUUUCCAGGUGGGCCAUUCCCGGAACUGAGGGUUCAUCCACCUUUUGGACCAUAUAGGAUAUUUUCCUGACAUUGAAAUGGCAUUUGUAAAUGGUGGUGGCGCUGGUGAGAGUGUCUUCUAGCACGCUCAUGUAUUAUAAUUAACACAUAAUGAGCAGUUAGGAUGACCAGAGGUCACUUUCCUCUCCAUCUUGGUUUUGGUGGGAUUUGGCCGGCUUCUUUGCCACAUCCUGUUUUAUCUGCAAGGUCUUUGUGACCUGUACCUUGUGCCUACCUCCUAUCUCUUCCUGUCACUAAAAAUGCCUAACUCCUGGGAAUGCAUCCCAGUAGGUCUCAGCCUUAUUUUACCCAACCCCCAUUCAAGAUGAAGUCACUCUGGUUUGUAUACCUCU